GGGGCUAUAGCUCAGUUGGUAGAGCGUCUCGUUCGCAAUGAGAAGGUCAGGAGUAUAAUUCUCCUUACCCCACCA
rnacentral:tRNA from 1 species